rnacentral:lncRNA from 1 species
AGGAUUCAUCACCAUGUUGGUUGUAUUAUCUAUUGGCAUGGUUGUACUGGUGAAGUGAAACGGGCCUACAACAUUAGAUGCAUCACCAAGAGUGUGUCUGGGAGGAGGUUGCUCAUUUGCCAUCUCUUCUGAAUCUAUUAUAUGAGCUUCUGGUGAGGGUUGCAACAAUCUUUCAGGAGAAGGAAACAACUCCCUAGAUGGACGUCUGACUCUCCUUCCUCUCCUGUCUGAUAGUCCUUCAAAAAGUGGUUGCUGGUUUUUCUUACUUCUAGUAUGAAUAGCUUCUGCAUACACAAGAAACAAAUACCCUAAAAGCACUUUUUAUAAAAAAAAAAAAAAUAAUCCACAAACACAAUAUAUACAAGCAAGUCAAACUCAAUCAAUUUACACUACUAGAAAAGUUAAACCACGAGUCCCCGACAACGACGCUAAAAACUUGUUAAGCCCCUGGCAAGUGUACUAGAUCGUUAUCAAGUAAUAUAUAAACGAUAAGUCCGAGUAUCGUCUCCCAAAGGACUCUUAGGCCUUAUCUUUCAUGUAAAUUGACCUUAUAAGACUUGUAAAGAAAUAAAUUUGUGGUUGAAUACAAAGAACAGAAAUAAACAUGCAAAUGCAAGUGAUUCAAUUGGCAAGGAAAAGAUAUGAAUGAAUGGAGUUGUUAGGGUUUACAAUUUCAUCUUAUCCACCCUCUUAUAUCUACUCUUCUUAUUAAAUUCGCUUUAUUAUCUAAUUGUCAUGCAAACUU